UCUAGUUAGUAUGUGACUUCACAUGGCAUCAAUGUAUUUUUUUUUUGAUAAGCAAAGGAUAUGUAUUCAAAAGGCACAAUGCCACAAGGUAUACAGGGAGUAUACAAGGCAGCUAAGGCCUCAAAAAACAACACAUGGCAUCAAUGUAUAUGAUUGAGACUCUUUUCUUUUAAAAAUCUGCCACUCCCUAGGGGCCUUAUCUUAUGCUUCUCAAGCUAGAUAAGAGUCACAUAUCUUGCACUCUUUUUGGAUUGAAAUCUUCAACUAAUGUGAAAAUUGUGGCAGCACAAAUCAGUUUUUGGGGGAUAUCGGGCUACUGGUUUGUUCUUUAUGAAUGAAAUUACCUUAGCCAACAGCACUCAACCGAAAAAAAGGAUCUUAUAUAAUAGAUGACUUGACACUAUCUAAUUGGCUAU
rnacentral:lncRNA from 1 species